UUCGGGAUGCUUCGAGGGGCUCCCGGUGGGUGGUGGUACAAACGCUGCGGCCGCCGCCGCCGCCGCCGGUCCUGCUGCUGUUGUUGCUGCUGCAGUCACGUGGGAGCCCCUUUAAGUUUCCAUAGAGAGGCCUCUCCGGUGUCACAUGAUGGACAUGAUAUAAUGAAACAACAUUGUGGAGAGGAAAGCAUUAGGGGAGCCCACGGCUACAAAACAAGUGAGUGAGAAGGUGGGAGAAAGAGAAACUACGCCACCUCCUCUGCAGCCGAGCGCACGCAGCAGCCUGGCGUGACAAGUGGGCGACGCCGGGGGCAGGGAGUGGGGGUCCUCCGCCCGCUCUGGGGAACCUGUCGCCCACCGUGCGCAGAGCAACUUUUAACCGGCAGCCCGGCACCUGUCUCAGAGUCUCCAUCGCUCCCCGCCACCAUCCUGGGAAAAUUCUAGAAGAAUACGCUCUCGGAAUCUACGUGCGCAUCAUUUUCCUCCUCGCUCCGGAGGAAGGAACUAGAAAAGAGAGCAAAGCGGUGCAGUGUUCACCCUCAAGGCAACCUCGUUGCUUCUUAGGGUUAGAAGAAUUGAGCUAACAGGAGUCUGCAACCUCUCUGCCUUGCUGAUCCAACGAGGCAGGGGGGUCACUGGUUUGCAGGAGUAUAUGACUACAGAUCAGAGCCACUGCAAGCUGCACACAUCCCUGACUCUGGGCGCUCAGGAAGACUCAGCAGAGAUGGGGAGUCGGCCUGCAAGCUGGAACACCAGAGCUCAUUUGCAGUUCUCCAUUUAGCUAGGAGGUUUCCAGGGCAACCACCUAAGCAGUAAUUAAAGAUGAGGAGCUAAAAGGUAUGUACUUAAGAAUCUGAAUCCUCAAAUGUGGUGGUCGGCAGGUUGGUAUCACGGUGUGCACUUUUCUUCAUUUAACAUUAAUUAAAUAAAUUUUUGAAAAUCUUAACAUUCAAUUAGAUGACACACACUAAAUGAGGAUGUGCAUGUUAUGCUUUCAUUUUUAUCUUUUCAUACAUGUGCACACGGAGUUUGAAUGAAGGCAGAC